rnacentral:rRNA from 1 species
GUAAGCUACUAAGAGCGAAUGGUGGAUGCCUUGACUGGUAAAGGCGAUGAAGGACGUACUAGACUGCGAUAAGCUACGGGGAGCUGUCAAGAAGCUUUGAUCCGUAGAUUUCCGAAUGGGGCAACCCAAUGUAUAGAGAUAUACAUUACCUAUAUAGGAGCGAACGAGGGGAAUUGAAACAUCUUAGUACCCUCAGGAAAAGAAAUCAAUAGAGAUUGCGUCAGUAGCGGCGAGCGAAAGCGUAAGAGGGCAAACCCAGUGCUUGCACUGGGGGUUGUAGGACUGCAAUGUGCAAGAGGUGAGUUUAGCAGAACAUUCUGGAAAGUAUAGCCAUAGAGGGUGAUAGUCCCGUAUGCGAAAAACAAACCUUAGCUAGCAGUAUCCUGAGUAGGGCGGGACACGAGAAAUCCUGUCUGAAGCUGGGUCGACCACGAUCCAACCCUAAAUACUAAUACCAGAUCGAUAGUGCACAAGUACCGUGAGGGAAAGGUGAAAAGAACUGAGGUGAUCAGAGUGAAAUAGAACCUGAAACCAUUUGCUUACAAUCAUUCAGAGCACUAUGUAGCAAUACAGUGUGAUGGACUGCCUUUUGCAUAAUGAGCCUGCGAGUUGUGGUGUCUGGCAAGGUUAAGCAAACGCGAAGCCGUAGCGAAAGCGAGUCUGAAUAGGGCGCUUAGUCAGAUGCUGCAGACCCGAAACGAAGUGAUCUAUCCAUGAGCAAGUUGAAGCUAGUGUAAGAACUAGUGGAGGACUGAACCCAUAGGCGUUGAAAAGCCCCGGGAUGACUUGUGGAUAGGGGUGAAAGGCCAAUCAAACUUCGUGAUAGCUGGUUCUCUCCGAAAUAUAUUUAGGUAUAGCGUUGUGUCGUAAUAUAAGGGGGUAGAGCACUGAAUGGGCUAGGGCAUACACCAAUGUACCAAACCCUAUCAAACUCCGAAUACCUUAUAUGUAAUCACAGCAGUCAGGCGGCGAGUGAUAAAAUCCGUCGUCAAGAGGGAAACAACCCAGACUACCAGCUAAGGUCCCUAAAUCUUACUUAAGUGGAAAACGAUGUGAAGUUACUUAAACAACCAGGAGGUUGGCUUAGAAGCAGCCAUCCUUUAAAGAAAGCGUAAUAGCUCACUGGUCUAGUGAUUUUGCGCGGAAAAUAUAACGGGGCUAAAGUAAGUACCGAAGCUGUAGACUUGAUUUUAUCAAGUGGUAGGAGAGCGUUCUAUUUGCGUCGAAGGUAUACCGGUAAGGAGUGCUGGAGCGAAUAGAAGUGAGCAUGCAGGCAUGAGUAGCGAUAAUUAAUGUGAGAAUCAUUAACGCCGUAAACCCAAGGUUUCCUACGCGAUGCUCGUCAUCGUAGGGUUAGUCGGGUCCUAAGUCGAGUCCGAAAGGGGUAGACGAUGGCAAAUUGGUUAAUAUUCCAAUACCAACAUUAGUGUGCGAUGGAAGGACGCUUAGGGCUAAGGGGGCUAGCGGAUGGAAGUGCUAGUCUAAGGUCGUAGGAGGUUAUACAGGCAAAUCCGUAUAACAAUACUCCGAGAACUGAAAGGCUUUUUGAAGUCUUCGGAUGGAUAGAAGAACCCCUGAUGCCGUCGAGCCAAGAAAAGUUUCUAAGUUUAGCUAAUGUUGCCCGUACCGUAAACCGACACAGGUGGGUGGGAUGAGUAUUCUAAGGCGCGUGGAAGAACUCUCUUUAAGGAACUCUGCAAAAUAGCACCGUAUCUUCGGUAUAAGGUGUGGUUCGCUUCGUAUUAGGAUUUACUCCGAAAGCGAAGAAACUUACAACAAAGAGUCCCUCCCGACUGUUUACCAAAAACACAGCACUCUGCUAACUCGUAAGAGGAUGUAUAGGGUGUGACGCCUGCCCGGUGCUCGAAGGUUAAUUGAUGGGGUUAGCAUUAGCGAAGCUCUUGAUCGAAGCCCGAGUAAACGGCGGCCGUAACUAUAACGGUCCUAAGGUAGCGAAAUUCCUUGUCGGUUAAAUACCGACCUGCAUGAAUGGCGUAACGAGAUGGGAGCUGUCUCAAAGAGGGAUCCAGUGAAAUUGUAGUGGAGGUGAAAAUUCCUCCUACCCGCGGCAAGACGGAAAGACCCCGUGGACCUUUACUACAGCUUGACACUGCUAUUUGGAUAAGAAUGUGCAGGAUAGGUGGGAGGCUUUGAGUAUAUGACGCCAGUUGUAUAUGAGCCAUUGUUGAGAUACCACUCUUUCUUAUUUGGGUAGCUAACCAGCUUGAGUUAUCCUCAAGUGGGACAAUGUCUGGUGGGUAGUUUGACUGGGGCGGUCGCCUCCCAAAUAAUAACGGAGGCUUACAAAGGUUGGCUCAGAACGGUUGGAAAUCGUUCGUAGAGUAUAAAGGUAUAAGCCAGCUUAACUGCAAGACAUACAAGUCAAGCAGAGACGAAAGUCGGUCUUAGUGAUCCGGUGGUUCUGUGUGGAAGGGCCAUCGCUCAAAGGAUAAAAGGUACCCCGGGGAUAACAGGCUGAUCUCCCCCAAGAGCUCACAUCGACGGGGAGGUUUGGCACCUCGAUGUCGGCUCAUCGCAUCCUGGGGCUGGAGCAGGUCCCAAGGGUAUGGCUGUUCGCCAUUUAAAGCGGUACGCGAGCUGGGUUCAGAACGUCGUGAGACAGUUCGGUCCCUAUCUGCCGUGGGCGUAAGAAGAUUGAAGAGAUUUGACCCUAGUACGAGAGGACCGGGUUGAACAAACCACUGGUGUAGCUGUUGUUCUGCCAAGAGCAUCGCAGCGUAGCUAAGUUUGGAAAGGAUAAACGCUGAAAGCAUCUAAGCGUGAAGCCAACUCUAAGAUGAAUCUUCUCUAAGCUCUCUAGAAGACUACUAGUUUGAUAGGCUGGGUGUGUAAUGGAUGAAAGUCCUUUAGCUGACCAGUACUAAUAGAGCGUUUGGCUUAUCUUU